CCUACGGGGGGCAGCAGUGGGGAAUAUUGCACAAUGGGGGAAACCCUGAUGCAGCGACGCCGCGUGAGUGAAGAAGUAUUUCGGUACGUAAAGCUCUAUCAGCAGGGACGAAAAUGACGGUACCUGACUAAGAAGCCCCGGCUAACUACGUGCCAGCAGCCGCGGUAAUACGUAGGGGGCAAGCGUUAUCCGGAUUUACUGGGGGGAAGGGGAGCGUAGACGGCAGCGCAAGUCUGGAGUGAAAUCCCAUGGCUUAACCAUGGAACUGCUUUGGAAACUGUGCAGCUAGAGUGCAGGAGAGGUAAGCGGAAUUCCUAGUGUAGCGGUGAAAUGCGUAGAUAUUAGGAGGAACACCAGUGGCGAAGGCGGCUUACUGGACUGUAACUGACGUUGAGGCUCGAAAGCGUGGGGAGCAAACAGGAUUAGAUACCCCUGUAGUC
rnacentral:rRNA from 1 species